rnacentral:tRNA from 1 species
CACUAAGAAGCUAAAAGGACUAAAGCGUUGGCCUUUUAAGCCAAUGAUAGGUGAUUUCCGACCACCCUUAGUGA